GUGCUCGCUUCGGCAGCACGUAUACUAAAAUUGGAACGAUACAGAGAAGAUUAGUAUGGUCCCUGCACAAGGAUGACACGCAAAGUUGCACUGGAGUCCAUU